AGACAAUUCCUCGAAGCAAAACUGUUGCUAAAUGUGUAAAUAUUCAUUUAUUAUCGCUUAUGAGCUGCGUCUGUGUCGACUAUCAGACUGUGCAUGCAUGUGGAGUUAGGGUGCAGAGCUAUAUUAUACAAAAAUACAGAAGAAAAGUUUUUGUUUUUUAUUUAUUUGUUUUGCACCAGAAUGUGCGAAAUUCAUGCGCCUUAAAGCCACCACAGCUCCUGUGGCCGCUGACCGAAGGGAGGCGUUUCCUCCAACCAAUCAGAGCGCUGCAUUCUGCAGCUGCCCAGAUGUGGUUUGAAGUGCCUAAAUCUUUUUUUUUAAUUUCAGUGGGAACGCUUCAAUUUAAUUGCAAAAACAUGAUUUUAAACCCCAGUUUUCCAAUUUAUUGCCAUUGCUGCAGAAUUAUGGUGAUGGGCUGCAUUAAGUAGGCCUUUGCUUAGAUUACUUUUUUAUAUAGGACCUUUAAUAGUUGACUGAAGGUUUCAUAGUCAUGACACCUACUCAAAUGCAAAGCUUUGGCUAUAGUGGAAUAGCUUCGGCUUAUUAACAAACUAUCCAAGGAAUGCUGGGAUCAUUGCUAAGUCUAGCUUUGCUGCUCUAGCUCUAAUAAACUUUUAAGAGGACAGAAAACUGACUUUGUAAAGCAUUCCUUCAACUUGGGACACUCUGGAGCUUCCAACAAGCACUUUGGCACAUGAUCGCGCACAUAUGGAAACCAUCUGUGUCUAAGAGAAGCGAUCAGUAGAGGUGCAGGCGAGAUGCAAAACAACACUCUUAUCCUAGAUGGAACAUUGAUCAAAACAUGCUGCAGAGGAUGUAAGUGUAAUUAGGCUGUUUCUGUGGCACAAUAACACAAAAUAAUGGAUGACUGCAAGGGGGGAAAUUUGGCAUAACUGCAGUUUGUUUUAUCAUAGAUCUAAUGUGAAUCAAUAUGACAACAAUUAACAAAAAGACAAGCCUUAAUGACAAGCCUUCAAAUUUAAUUAUAACCAGCAUGAACACAUUUAUCCUGCAUUACAAUGAAGCUGCAUGAUGUAUUUUUUUAUUUUUCACUUCAACUUGUCUUCACUUGUGUGUUUGUUUCUUUCA